CCAUUCAUUAUGUUGCAUAAGCUAAGCAUAGCUUUUAAGAUCUUGAUUCCCACCUUCCUCCUAGAAACAAUUAGUGAUACAAGGAUUUAUAUAAUAAAACAGGAAAUUAGUUUUUCCUAGUUCCCAUAUUUCUGCUAUGCUGAGACUUGGCUUGAGAGCGAGUUCUAGGAAGAAAAUUAUGGACAGAAUCCUGCUGUGACUGCUUAUCGGAAGAAAUAAAUUUCUUCUUCUGGCCUAGAAUAUCUACAUUGCCCAAACCUCCGCCUGCAGUUUGUUCAUUGGUUUGGACAGCAGUGGAUGCCUGCUCUUUGCUCUUUCUGCCACCCAGAAUAUCACUUUCAGCAUCAAGAGAUGAAGAAACAGUUUUUUUCCUUUUUACUGUACAGCUGUCCUUCUUAGAUAUAUCACCUUUU
rnacentral:misc_RNA from 1 species